UCUGUCGCUUUCUGCUCUGCGAACACCGCUUGUCAUAUUUUCUUUUACUCUUUCUUUUGGAAGUAUUCUUUGCGCGGUUUUAAUACAGUAGGUGAAAAAUAAAGAAAAGGUCCGCAAAAUAAUCGGUGCAUUUUGUGCCGUCAAAGAUUUAUCAUCACUCCAUGAGGUUCCUCACAACAUUGUCCACAGCGGUUUUUAAGUAUUACAUUUAUACCUACUGCCAUUGUGAUAACGGAAAACCACAUCACCGUGAACAUGCAGAAGAGGAGCCUUGUAUUCUGAGGUGGAUGUAUAAUUAUCCAAAGAAGCCUUUCACCCAUUUUUCACUCAUUUUUCUGAACAGCCAUCAUGAGUACUGAACCAGUACACCUUGCUCUGGUGCCUGUACGAUGCAGAGGCAACUUGUUGAUCAAGACACUACUUUUCAUUUUUAUUUUUGUUAUUUCUUUUUCUUCUUAUUUGUCAGGAACUUACAACUGGACUACCUUAAUGGUAAUAGCCAUUUCAUUUUUAAAAAAUAGUUCAGAAAUGCCACCUUGACAUACAGAAUUCAGAAGAUAUGGAAAUUUUGUCAGUGUCAAAGCUAAUUUCAUUCAGAAAACAUUGUUACACAAUUGUAAUGCUAUAAAUGAGGCCAAAGAGCAGGAAAUGUAUAGUUAUACUGCGUUCAUCAGAACAUUUGGUCGAAAAAUCCGAAGUACAUGUGGGAUAAACAUUCCAGUAGGUGGUUGUUAAUAUACUCAAUUCAUGUACCAGUUAAGGUUAAACCAUAGAGAAAUUAUCUUGCAUUGCUCCAUUUAUCAUAUCAUCAGUGGUGGACAAAGUACACAACUCCAUUACUUGAGUCAAAGUAUAGACGCUUUCCACGGUAACAACAUACACAAAUGUUACUGCGCAUGUGCGUUGUUCUGACCCUAACUUAACUUCCGGCAGACUACCGCAAACAAUCAAUAACAACGGAGUCACUUUAGACUAUUUCUGAUAACAAGCAAAAUAAAUAAUAAGUAAAUGAUGUUAGCUAGAUAGUUAAAACUAUGUCAAGCCAGUAUUAUUUGGGGUUACCAGUCGAAGAAAAGAACCGUUACUUGGCCAAACUCAAAUGCGAUAACGUUACACUACCAGAAAAACAAGCGACAGAAACAGAUAACUGUUGACAGUAUUGCACCUUGCGGAACAUCAUACAUUCCUUGCAUAAUCCAUAACUAUUCUGGUUACAUGCACAUUCUUGUGUAAAAAGUGCACUCUUUCUAUUACAUUGCUUAAAAACGAUGAUUACAUGAGACACAAAAUGGGGCUAGUGCUGGGCAGCAUGUGUAGCCAAUGCAAUUACUAUAGGUAUUUAUUUGUAUAGCAUGCAUUGAUGGAAAAACACCGUGGCUCUAAUAGUUUGGGUCAUCUUGCUAGGUUACCACAACAAAAAAUGAUCAAGCAAUGCAACAUUGUCAAGUCAUUGGAAACAGGUAUCAAAAUGUUCGUUAAAAACGUAGCUAUAGCGUAUCAACUACUAGCAUUGAUCUAACGUUUCUGUGUAUAAUUUAUACAAUCUUAGCUACGUUUAGCUAGCUAGCUAGCUAGAAUUAAUUUAGUUAGCUAAUUGUUCAUAACUAUUAAAGGCUUGUUACUGGUCAGCUAGCUAUUAGCUAUCGCUUAUCAUGAGUUUGUUACCUGAAACAAAGUCAGUGCUACAGUGAGAGCACCUAGUCGACCACCUUCGUUCGACAGACAGGAAAACGUAAACUGAUUUGCAACUAUAUAUGAAAUAGGUGAAAUAUCGGUAACAACCUGUACCUAGUUAAGUAAGAAAAAAUGUCCUUGUUAUCCUCCCGUGGUUAUUUUUUCAACACUUUGACGAUUUUUUUUCGGUGCCGGCAAAUUAGUCAGAGGUGGUCCAGCGCUAGCUUUUGGUUGCUAAAGGGGACGUGUAUCCACAACCCUAUAAAUUAAUGGAACUUAACAUAAAUUUGCUAGCAUCCUGUAUAAAUGUCCUGUCUUGCGUAUUUGAGGUUAAUAUGAGAAAGGGCGAUCCCUAUCAGCACGUCUAGGAAUCCGUACAUAUUCACUGUUGUCACUCAAGUCGCAGGACGCAAAAUAGCCGUUGGGAAAGCAGUUUGAAUGUAUGAAGCAACGUCUACGCCAUUGGCUUUAAUGGGUCACGAUGAGAUAAUUACGAGCGUGUUGCUUGUCUUAAAGUUGAUAUAGUAAAUAAGGCUGUAUUAGUAUUACUAAAUGUUUAUGUAUGAAGUUGAUUUAUUUAUUUAUACAGUUUAUUAUGUGUAUUUUUACAGGACUUACAUUUGAAUAGGUAACGAUGUCCAGUUAUUUCUCAAAAAUACGAAGUAACGGGCAAGCACCAGCUAUAAUAAUCGCAGGGAUUCAAGCAAUUCGUCUCACAAACGUUAGCUAACGUUUACAUACCUCGACAUGCUAUUUCAGGUUGGACGGCGAGUUUUUGAAUGCAGCGAUGUAGUUCGUGCGCGGUAAGCAGAGCAAACAUUUAAAACAAUAUGAAUCUUUCUGAAUUUCACAAAUCUCAAACAUGGACUUGAGAUAUAGCCAUGGAUGCUCUGGUGGCGAAGAAUCAUCCUUAUCUUCUGCCGUCGCCAUCAUUACCGCCGCCAAGUUCAAAUUGAACUGUUCAAUCUCUGGUGCAACAAGCAAGCACUUUGAACUUGACCGACAGCCUAUUAGGAGUAGGCUACUGUGAUUGGUUUCUCUCCUGUGAGGAACACAGCGUGUGGCCAAUCGCAUUUUAGAAAAUAAAAAAAGAUUCAACUGAUGACUUCAAAGCUAUGCUUCAAAGUAACGAGUAACGACAACCUUCAUAGAAAUGUAGUGGAGUCAAAAGUACAAUAUUUCAAAUGUAGUGGAGUAAAAGUCAUAAGUUUCCAAAAAAAUAAAUACUCAAGUAAAGUACAGAUACUCGAAAAAUGUACUUAAGUAUAGUACUUGUACUUACUGUCCACCCCUGCAUAUCAUGUACCUGUGUCCAUACUAUAUCACAAUGGCCUCUACUAAAACUGCUCAACAGAGCUCAGCUGAGGUCUAUGGUCCAGGGUCCGAGCUUCUUAUUUUACUUUCAGAUUUCAUGUGAUGGCUAAUUUUCUCUGGAUUAAUUUCCACGUGUGAGAUGUAGAGGCAGGUAACUGCCAAAAUAAAGGAUACAAUAAAUGGGGGAUACAAAGUAUAAUGAAAGCAGGAGCAUCCACACAGGUGGGGUUCUUGACUUGUGCGAGUAACAU